GAGGUGUUAGUAAAGUAUUAUAUAACUUUGUCAAGGUUAAGUCACAGGUGAAAAUCCCGUACACCUCA
rnacentral:tRNA from 1 species